rnacentral:lncRNA from 1 species
AGCUACAGCACUUUUAUUAGGCUCAGCAAUAGACUGGACUUCGUCAUUGAAGUUGCGAAGCAGGACUCUGCUGCCAUCUACAGAGAACUGCAGAGCCGCACCGGAUGAGACCACGGGGUCUUCGCGUCGAGCAGUCCAUACAACAAUGGUGUUAUUUGUUGGGCUGCUGCUGCCAACAAUCCAUAUUCCAACCCUGAAACCAUUGCCACUCGGGUAAAAUCCGAAAGCAAAACGGCCAGAAGCAGAAAGCCAGAAAUUGGAAUUGAGUUUGUGUAAAGAAUGGAGCCAGGGGUUAUGUUUUUAUUUGACUGUGGGGAUUGAGCUUUCGAUUUUGAGAGCAGAUAGACGAUUAAGAGAAAAAUAUAGAUUCUUUUUGCCAUUCGAUUGAGUUAUUAUUUUGGUAGUUAGUUUAUUUUUUUGCCAAUAAGAGUGAGGUUUUAUAAUGAAGAUCAUGGAGUUUUCUGCACCUUCCAUUUUUCUUUCAAGAUCUCUUAUCUACUCAAUAAUGGAUGUGGGAAAAAAAAUGAGGUGUAAAUUACCGCUGUUAAGUCUUGUUCUUUGUUUUAUUUAACACGGC